UGCAAGUCGAACGGCAGCGCGGACUUCGGUCUGGCGGCGAGUGGCGAACGGGUGAGUAAUGCAUCGGAACGUGCCCAGUAGCGGGGGAUAACUACGCGAAAGCGUAGCUAAUACCGCAUACGCCCUACGGGGGAAAGGGGGGGAUCGCAAGACCUCUCACUAUUGGAGCGGCCGAUGUCGGAUUAGCUAGUUGGUGGGGUAAAGGCCUACCAAGGCAACGAUCCGUAGCUGGUUUGAGAGGACGACCAGCCACACUGGGACUGAGACACGGCCCAGACUCCUACGGGAGGCAGCAGUGGGGAAUUUUGGACAAUGGGGGCAACCCUGAUCCAGCCAUGCCGCGUGUGCGAAGAAGGCCUUCGGGUUGUAAAGCACUUUUGGCAGGAAAGAAACGGCGCCGGAUAAUACCUGGCGUAACUGACGGUACCUGCAGAAUAAGCACCGGCUAACUACGUGCCAGCAGCCGCGGUAAUACGUAGGGUGCAAGCGUUAAUCGGAAUUACUGGGCGUAAAGCGUGCGCAGGCGGUUCGGAAAGAAAGAUGUGAAAUCCCAGGGCUCAACCUUGGAACUGCAUUUUUAACUCCCGAACUAGAGUGUGUCAGAGGGGGGUGGAAUUCCACGUGUAGCAGUGAAAUGCGUAGAUAUGUGGAGGAACACCGAUGGCGAAGGCAGCCCCCUGGGAUAACACUGACGCUCAUGCACGAAAGCGUGGGG
rnacentral:rRNA from 1 species